UACGUAGGGUGCGAGCGUUGUCCGGAAUUAUUGGGCGUAAAGGGCUCGUAGGCGGUUUGUCGCGUCGGGAGUGAAAUCCACUGGCUUAACUGGUGGCUUGCUUUCGAUACGGGCAGACUGGAGGUAUGCAGGGGAGAACGGAAUUCCUGGUGUAGCGGUGAAAUGCGCAGAUAUCAGGAGGAACACCGGUGGCGAAGGCGGUUCUCUGGGCCGAUAUUGACGCUGAGGAGCGAAAGCGUGGGAGCGAACAGG
rnacentral:rRNA from 1 species